rnacentral:pre_miRNA from 1 species
AAAAAGAUAAACUCUGGGUUUUUUUUUCAAUUUUAACUGUCCGUCUUAUAUGAAAUUUUUUUAUAAUUUGUAUUUUCAUUAUUGUUAGAUGAUAAAAUAUGAUUAAUAUUUUAUGCGUGACUUUUCUUUUUAAUUUUUUUAAAUAAGACAGAUGGUCAAAAUACAAAAACCAUGGUUUAUCUUUUU